rnacentral:rRNA from 1 species
GACGAACGCUGGCGGCGUGCUUAACACAUGCAAGUCGAACGGAAAGGCUCUGCUUGCUUGGUACUCGAUUGGCGAAUUUGUGAGUAACACGUGGGUGAUCUGCCCUGCACUUCGUGAUAAGCCUGGUACACUGGGACUAAUACCGGAUAGGAGCCAUUAUUCGUGUGAUGGUUGGAAAGUUUUAUCGGUUUAGGAUGAGCUCGCGGCCUAUCAGCUUGUUGGUGGGGUAAUGGCCUACCAAGGCGGCGACGGGUAGCCGGCCUGAGAGUGUGGACGGCCACGUUGGGACUGGGAUACGGCCCAGACUCCGACGGGAGGCAGCAGUAGGGAAUAUUGCACUAUGGGAGCAAGCCUGAUGCAGAGACGCCGAGUGGGGGAUGACGGACUUCGGGUUGUAAACGCCAAUCGCUAGGGACGAAGCAUUUUGUGACGGUACCUAGAUAAGAAGCACCGGCUAACUACGUG